rnacentral:rRNA from 1 species
UACGUAGGCAGCAAGCGUUGUUCGGAAUUACUGGGCGGAAAGAGUGUGUAGGCGGUGCUCCAAGUCUGGUGUGAAAUCUCCCGGCUUAACUGGGAGGGUGCAUUAGAAACUGGAAUGCUAGAGGAUGGGAGAGGUAAGCGGAAUUCCUGGUGUAGCGGUGAAAUGCGUAGAUAUCAGGAGGAACACCUGUGGUGUAGACAGCUUACUGGACCAUUUCUGACGCUGAGACACGAAAGCGUGGGUAGCAAACAGG